AUUCCUCACUGGAGAGACAGGGACACUUCAAAUGCAGCCAAUUGCACCAAAGAGCAGAUCGGCGGAAUCAAGGUCUCCUGCCUCAUCUUACUACCCUGGGGAAAAGGGGGCUGCUGAACCCGAGGCUUGGGGCUCCCACCCGCACAAGUCGCCAUAACCAAGAGCCUAAGAUUCUGGAGACGCCGCGGGGUCUUCGUGUGUGCGAGCUGCCCCUUUCCCCUCAGGGAGUUACUCAACGCACUCCAGCAAACUUUCCAGAAGCGUCUACAGCUUCCCGUGGCUCUGCAGCACUACCAACCAUCAACUCGCGUCCACAGUCUCGCUUGCUCCCGGCUACCUGGAGGUCCCCCGAGUCCCAGGUCCGCGCGCACCUCCACACACUCUCCAGCCACUGCGGACCUCAGCCUUGGGGAUCAGUCUGUCCCCGUUUCAGAUCUCCCGGGCGCCUCCUCCGCACCACCUGCGCUCAUCUACACCGCCUCGGGGGUCCUCGGGUCGCUUGCGUCUACACAGCUUCAGCAGUCUCCGGGUCUACACAACCCAGCACAUGAGCGAUGCCCUCAAGGUUCACCCAGUGUCUCAUCCCAGUGCCUACCUUGCCUACUACAGUUCCUCAGGCUCCCGUCCUGGUUCACACAUUUUGCAAUCUUGUCAGUAGAGAAAGGAAAGGAAAUCUUGUAAUCCUCCUGCAGCCAUGUGGUGUUUACCCCUAACCCCCUUCUCCGUUUUUUUAGUUGUUUUGUUCUUUUUUUUUUUUUUUUUUUUUUUUUUUUUUUGCCUUUAGAACAAUAUUCAUGCCCAACGGCCGCAAGCUGCGGGCUCCAGGCAAACGCAGCUGGCUGCGGGGGCGUGGCCCUGGGCGGAGAGAGGGCGUGGUCUGGGCGGGCAAAGCGAAGUGUCUCUGCCCUGGCCUCCCUCCGCUAGGAAACCGUGGCCUGCGACCAAGGCUCCUGUUCCAGCUCACGAUUGGUCAGCCCAGUCGCGAUGCUGAUGCCUAAUUGGCUGAGACGAAGAAGACUCAGAGGUGGUGGUGGUGGCUCCUUUGGAUCUGUGAACAGUAAGCGCAGAAGCCCUGAGGCUGCUGGGGACAGACUCCCUUCCCAGCUGCCCACUGCUCUCUUGGGCUUAACUUCCUCCAGCUCAUUUCUGAUCCUGGCCCCUGGUGGCCACUGCCUACCCAGAGUCCAGAAGAGAGGCAGCCCUCUAAAUGCUAGGAGUUCCCAGGUAGACCUUCCAACCAACCAUGUCCAGCGUGGUGCUCUGAGCAGGGCCCCACUGGCCCAUCCUCCCACACACACCCUGACUGCCUCCUUCCCACCCCCACCCCAUCCAGAGAUGGACAAGGACAAUGAAAGCUAUUUCACAAGCAGCUGGUGAUUAAUCGCCAAGUUAAUUAAAGAGGCUGUAAUUGCACUCCUGUUUCAGAGGUGGGGAUGAUGUCUUGGGCAGGGAUGGGUGGUCGGCUUAGGUCUCCCUGAGAAGAUGGAGCCAACAAGGCAGGAAGAAAAACAAGUGGUAUAUUCUAGAUGUAGAUGCUUCCACCGUAGCUGAAAUGUUUAUUUGACACAGUGAGCCUAAAUGUUUAUGCUUGUCUCUGUACAUUUCCAUGUCUUUGAAAUAUUUCAUUAAGGAUGAGGGGGGAAAUUCGCCAAGGAGAAGGCUAAGUAUUUCUAAACUCUAGUUUCAGAUUUAUAAAUGACCUCAAAUACCAGUGUGCCUCGAUUUACACAAUGGAGAGGCCUUUAAAAUUAUGUGCAAAUCGAAUCCCGUUUGCCUGCCCGGUACAUCUUUAAGGCUGCUGAUGCUCCGUCUUCAUUUCUGAUUGAUUUUCCCUGGCAGAGGCGCCAAAUUCGUUGCUUUAAGUGU
ensembl:lncRNA